UACGAAGGGGGCUAGCGUUGCUCGGAAUCACUGGGCGUAAAGCGCACGUAGGCGGGUUCUUAAGUCAGGGGUGAAAUCCUGGAGCUCAACUCCAGAACUGCCUUUGAUACUGGGAAUCUCGAGUCCGGGAGAGGUGAGUGGGACUGCGAGUGUAGAGGUGAAAUUCGUAGAUAUUCGCAAGAACACCAGUGGCGAAGGCGGCUCACUGGGCCCGGUACUGACCCUGAGGUGCGAAAGCGUGGGGAGCAAACAGG
rnacentral:rRNA from 1 species